UCUCCAGGGCCCCAGAGAAGCCAACGGCUUUGAUGCAGGGCACAUAGCAUCAGCUUCACAUAUGUAUAGCUCACUCCAAGCACAAUUGUUUCCCUUUUAAAUGUGGCAUCAGGAGGGACAGACAAGACUUAGAGAGAUGGCUAGCGGUCAAAACAGAGAGAUAUAGGAAGAAAAACAUGGCCUAAGGUCAGGGACUUGUUGGACUGGGAUCAUCUGUGGUCACCUAUUUGUAAGUUGAUGUUCUUAGCGCAUAUGUUCCUGAAUAAAGAAAAGAACAUUUUUAUGAUGGUGUCCUUGGAAAGCUGUCAGAGUGAAUAGGCAGAAUGCCACAGAGCCAGGACCCUCUGCUCUUCUUCAGGUUCUUGAAAGUUUCCAAGCCCAUGCAUAACACAGUAGAGCCAUGAAAGAAGAAAUCAUUUGCUCAAUGACUGUGAGUUCAUGGAUCUAUGAACUACUUCUCAGAGCCUCGUGGCAGAGGAUGGGAGUGAGAUGGAGAGAGUAAGGAUUUGCUGUGGUGAAUGAAGCUGGCUGAGGAAAAAGAGAGGUAUUACCCACAAUGCAUUCCAAACUUCUCUUGCAAGCUGGUUAUUAAGAAUCUGAAACGAGUGAUCGUGAUGGCUGAAGCCUACACCUAGCCAGUGAUCCCUAAAAGGUUGCUGCAAUUUGUUUCAAGAACUCAAGUCACAAUCUGGAAUCUGUCUUAUGAUGUUUCACAGUUAUUUAUGCGAAUAUGUCACCCAUCACAGCAUCUGUGUGGAGGUCAGAGGACAGCGUAAAGGUUCAGCUGGACCUGUUCUAAGGUCAGGAUUUUACCAUCAACAACAUCAGCAGUCCCGGCAUCACCAAGAACUGGCCUGGUAGGAGAUGUGCUUUCCUGGACUCUCAAGCGCAGAAGGAUGCAGUAUGCUUCCCAAGCAUCUGAACUAAGCAAGCCUUCCCCAGUCCCAACCCCUCCCUGAAACAAGUCAAGCACAGGCCUCAAAAGCAAAUAUGACCACUUGCUGUCUCUGUGUCUCCAUGUUUAAUAGCCUAGCCUUUGAAGUGUGAGGAAACACUUUUAACUGCAGCACACAUGGCCAUUCUCCAGAACUCCAUAAGGAAUGGAAUGACUGCUUGGUCUAAGGAUUAACUGGUUUAUCGAGCUCAGGAUCCACAAAGUCAACUCUUUUCCCCAAGCCACAGCAAAGCAAACUGAACAAUAAAACUGAAGCCGAGAGAUGGUUUGGUUGCUAAUGUGCUUGCCUUACAAACGGGAUGACUUGGCUUCAUCUCGAGAGCCCGUAGUAAAAAGCCAGGCACAGUGAAGUGCGCUCAAAAGUCCAGAGCU